CAGCAGCCACGGUAAUACGUAGGGUGCGAGCGUUAAUCGGAAUUACUGGGCGUAAAGGGCGCGCAGGCGGACUUUUAAGUCGGAGGUGAAAGCCCAGGGCUCAACCCUGGAAUUGCCUUCGAUACUGGGAGUCUUGAGUUCGGAAGAGGUUGGUGGAACUGCGAGUGUAGAGGUGAAAUUCGUAGAUAUUCGCAAGAACACCGGUGGCGAAGGCGGCCAACUGGUCCGAAACUGACGCUGAGGCGCGAAAGCGUGGGGAGCAAACAGGAUUAGAUACCCCCGUAGUCCCUGUCUCUUAUAC
rnacentral:rRNA from 1 species